ensembl:rRNA 5S_rRNA 5S ribosomal RNA
GAUUAUAAAUUAAUCCACUGUUCAAAAAUCCUGAGUAUAGAAAUUUCUACUCGGAAGCUAAGCAGGGUCGGGCCUAGUUAGUACUUGGAUGAGAGACCACCUAGGAAGACCAGGUGCUGUAGGCG